GCCUGGGUGGCUCAGUCGGUUGAGUGUCUGACUUCGGCUCAGGUCGUGAUCUCACAGUCUGUGGGUUCGAGCCCCGCAUCGGGCU
rnacentral:tRNA from 1 species